AAUGUACGGGGGCUUAAUGAUCGCAAUAAAUGCCUUCGUAUAAAAUCAUUAUUGCGGAUGUGGAAGGUUGAUGUGGUGUGUUUUCAAGAAACAAAGAUGGAAGUUAUUGAUAGAAGUAUUGUUUGUAGUUUAAAGGUGUGUCUAUAUGUG